GAUGAACGCUCGCGGGAGGCCUAACACAUGCAAGCCGAGCGGUAUUGUUUCUUCGGCAAUGAGAGAGCGGCGUACGGGUGCGUAACACGUGUGCAACCUGCCUUUAUCUGGGGGAUAGCCUUUCGAAAGGAAGAUUAAUACUCCAUAAUAUAUUGAACGGCAUCGUUUAAUAUUGAAAGCUCCGGCGGAUAGAGAUGGGCACGCGCAAGAUUAGCUAGUUGGUGAGGUAACGGCUCACCAAGGCGAUGAUCUUUAGGGGGCCUGAGAGGGUGAUCCCCCACACUGGUACUGAGACACGGACCAGACUCCUACGGGAGGCAGCAGUGAGGAAUAUUGGUCAAUGGGUGCAAGCCUGAACCAGCCAUCCCGCGUGAAGGACGACUGCCCUAUGGGUUGUAAACUUCUUUUGUAUAGGGAUAAACCUACCCUCGUGAGGGUAGCUGAAGGUACUAUACGAAUAAGCACCGGCUAACUCCGUG
rnacentral:rRNA from 1 species